CGUAACUUAGGCAGUCUGCAACUUUGUUCAAGGACAAUUCUGUGCAAAUUUUACGCCUGUCAGGAGCCUGCACUGCACGCUAGUGAUAGACGUAAUACUCUUCCAAGGGGAAGCUAGCUCCCGCCUCCCUCUGUCACUUAAAUAGGUUUUUAUUAAGUAAAAUUAAAAAUAGACAUCACAGCCCCCACCACUCGUCGGCUCGGAUUGCGCACAUAUGCUAUGAACUGGCAAAACUGUCCAAUCACAGGCUUCUCUGUGAUUGGUCCAAGCCUGUGAUUGGACAAAGCAAGUGCCAGAUGAC